rnacentral:tRNA from 1 species
AGGGACUUAGGAUAAUACAAAACCAGGAGCCUUCAAAGCUCAAAAUAGGAGUGAAAAUCUUCUAGUCCCUG